AGGACGAACGCUGGCGGCGUGCUUAACACAUGCAAGUCGAGCGAUGAAGCUCCUCGGGAGUGGAUUAGCGGCGGACGGGUGAGUAACACGUGGGCAACCUGCCUGUAGAGAGGAAUAGCCAUUCGAAAGGAUGAUUAAUACCUCAUAAUAUUGUAGCUUCGCAUGAAGCAACAACCAAGGAGCAAUCCACUACAAGAUGGGGCCCGCGGCGCAUUAGGCUAGGUUGGUGGGGUAACGGCUCACCAAGGCGACGAUGCGUAGCCGACCUGAGAGGGUGAUCGGCCACAUUGGGACUGAGACACGGCCCAGACUCCUACGGGAGGCAGCAGUGGGGAAUAUUGCACAAUGGGGGAAACCCUGAUGCAGCCAACGCCGCGUGAGUGAUGACGGUCUUCGGAUUGUAAAGCUCUGUCUUCAGGGACGAUAAUGACGGUACCUGAGGAGGAAGCCACGGCUAACUACGUGCCAGCAGCUGC
rnacentral:rRNA from 1 species